GUCGAUGUAGCUCAGUUGGUUAGUAGCGCCGCACUCAUAAAGCGGAGGUCGGAGGUUCAAAUCCUCCCAUCGACACAA
rnacentral:tRNA from 1 species